rnacentral:rRNA from 1 species
UGCAGAAUCCCGUGAACCAUCGAGUUUUUGAACGCAAGUUGCGCCCGAGGCCAGCCGGCCAAGGGCACGUCCGCCUGGGCGUCAAGC